GGCUCCAGCUGUCCAACGACACGACCGCUGCCACUGACUUAUUGCUGUCGUACAUCUGCGAAUCAACAGUCGUGGGUGCUAGAGCACCCGCUAUCAUCGUCGUCUGGAGGGCCGGCACAUUAGAGUCAACUCGAGGCAGUUUGAAAAGGCCCAGUCUGCCAAAGUUUUCUACUCAGCGUGCACUUUCGUCAAGGGCGAAAUACGUUUUCGGGUCGUCCCGACUGUUUGUACCAUCGCGUCGUGGAGCUGCAGACUUCUGUAUUAUACGUUCAAGGGGCCGCGAAAAACGUAUACGCUCAAUCGUUAAAUUACUUCACGCUACGACGACGUCACGUCUGGGUGACCUUCGCACCGCGCACGGGCGCCUGACGACUGACGACUGUGCAAGGCAGGUUCGAAGUCGCGACAAGACGUCGUUGCUCCAGCCAUUGAUGUCACAGCGAUUGCUGUGGUCCCCUCUCGACUCGUUUGGAUUCGUCCGUCGUAACGGGUUCGU